rnacentral:rRNA from 1 species
GUAAGGAAUAUUGGUCAAUGGACGCAAGUCUGAACCAGCCAUGCCGCGUGGAGGAUGAAGGUCCUCUGGAUUGUAAACUUCUUUUAUCUGGGACGAAAAAAGGGAAUUCUUUCUCGUCUGACGGUACCAGAUGAAUAAGCACCGGCUAACUCCGUGCCAGCAGCCGCGGUAAUACGGAGGGUGCAAGCGUUAUCCGGAUUCACUGGGUUUAAAGGGUGCGUAGGCGGGUAUGUAAGUCCGUGGUGAAAUCUCCGAGCUUAACUCGGAAACUGCCAUGGGUACUGCGUAUCUUGAAUGUUGUGGAGGUGAGCGGAAUAUGUCAUGUAGCGGUGAAAUGCUUAGAUAUGACAUAGAACACCAAUUGCGAAGGCAGCUCACUACACAAAUAUUGACGCUGAGGCACGAAAGCGUGGGGAUCAAACAGGAUUAGAUACCCGGGUAGUCC